ACUCCUACGGGAGGCAGCAGUGGGGAAUAUUGGACAAUGGGCGCAAGCCUGAUCCAGCCAUACCGCGUGGGUGAAGAAGGCCUUCGGGUUGUAAAGCCCUUUUGUUGGGAAAGAAUUCCAGCUGGCUAAUACCCGGUUGGGAUGACGGUACCCAAAGAAUAAGCACCGGCUAACUUCGUGCCAGCAGCCGCGGUAAUACGAAGGGUGCAAGCGUUACUCGGAAUUACUGGGCGUAAAGCGUGCGUAGGUGGUCGUUUAAGUCCGUUGUGAAAGCCCUGGGCUCAACCUGGGAACUGCAGUGGAUACUGGACGACUAGAGUGUGGUAGAGGGUAGCGGAAUUCCUGGUGUAGCAGUGAAAUGCGUAGAGAUCAGGAGGAACAUCCAUGGCGAAGGCAGCUACCUGGACCAACACUGACACUGAGGCACGAAAGCGUGGGGAGCAAACAGGAUUAGAUACCCUGGUAGUCCACGCCCUAAACGAUGCGAACUGGAUGUUGGGUGCAAUCUGGCACGCAGUAUCGAAGCUAACGCGUUAAGUUCGCCGCCUGGGGAGUACGGUCGCAAGACUGAAACUCAAAGGAACUGACGGGGGCCCCCACAAGCGGUGGAGCAUGUGG
rnacentral:rRNA from 1 species